CCUGACUCAACUGAAUAAAUUGCGCUAGCUAUGCUCACGUGCGAAUUUAAAAAUCCGACGACGUGCCCACGACAUAUUCCGAUUUAAAACCGAGCAGAGCCGAAGCCUUGCCGGUGGUCAAAGGCAAUCGAAGGGGGAUAUUUGAUGAUGUUAUUAUACAUUGGAAAAAUGCAUUCGAAAAUGGUUUCAGAAAGGAAUUUUUAGACUAUUUAAAGAUGAUUUUGUAACUGGUGGUGUUUAUGGAUGACUUGGAGGGCUUAGUUGUACUUUUUUGUCGAAAUUUGUGGCAAAAUCAUCGUAUUAUAAUAUCAAUUUGACGACCAUAAACAGUCGAAUCGACGACUCGAAACAUGGCUAAAUUUCAAGGUAUUGGGUAUUCUACUUUGUAUUUUUACUUGCUACACUUAAAGAUCGGCCAGCGAUAAACUGGCCGCUUUCUGGUGGGCUUGUAACUGGGCGAAUGUAACAUCGAAAAAGUCUUUUACAAUCACAGGAAAUUGAACGGCGUUUUGUGGCGAUGAGAGGCUUAUUAUUAAAUUUCUUGACGGCUUUUCCGACCUUCGAUAAUUUAUAGCUCUGGAUAGCGAUUUUCUGGCAAUAUUCACAAUUUUAUAGAUAAAUACUAAAGUGACGUGUUUGUUACAUAAUGUCAUUCAAACCUUAGCGUGACUUUGAAUUGUAAAUUGAAGAUGAAAGUUUUUUGGAAUUUUUUGGUUGACUACAUUUCUACCAUGAAUUAUCACUCACGAAUUAUUCCAAUGUUUUGCCAGGAAUGACCUUCAUUUUCGACAUUCUGAUGCUUGUAUACGCUAAAGUAUACUAUAAACUGUGACCUAGGUUUGACUAUCGACAAAAAGCGAUAGGUUUCGGGUUGUUCUCCGCUGAAAUGUUUGUUAAUCUCAAUGCAAGGCGCCCCGUGUAGGAGGAGACGUUUUUGUUUCAUUUUAUGAUCAGCGACAGCUCAAUUUCACCCCUGGGAUGCCGCUAAUUCGUGAGAAACACAGCUAAGUCUUGGUAAAAGAUCUUUAGAUUUGUUUCAAGAGCGCCUUCCCUUUGAAAACUAGCAUGCUGCAGCAAUAUUUUGACUGCUUUGGGAUGUUUUGCCUAGCCUUAAAAAACAAGACAGGUUUAUAAUUAUUUACAUAAAAUAUACGUGCAGCUUGAUGGGGCAAAAAUAUGACAACAAACAAACGUGUUUUCUCUCCUAUUUUAGCCUCGUGGAAAUCAGCUCUAACGCCGCAGAAAGCUCCAACUUACGUAAGUUAUGUGGUUUUGUUAAAUUACAGUACUUUAUUACAAAGACACCUAUGCAAUAUUGCACAAUUGAAUGUUAAUUUAGGUGUCUCUACGAUGUCGGCUGAAUUAAAUCGAUUUGGAAUUCCUAAAAAAGCACCUGAC